rnacentral:lncRNA from 1 species
ACUAAUCGAAAUUAUCAUUUAGCAAUGAUUUUCGAUGUCUAGAUAGAUCGAAUAUUUGUAAGGUAAUACUCAAAAACUUAGAAAUAUGGUUACCUCAUAAUUCAUCCCUUUGAUCUUGAAUGUUCAGGAUGAUCUAGGGCUUAACUAUCAACCCUGGAUUAGUCAUCCACAUUAUAUUUCAAUUAUUUUCAAAUCCUGUGAUCUAUCAUAUAGAUUAUCCCAAUCG